rnacentral:rRNA from 1 species
CCUACGGGGGGCAGCAGUGGGGAAUAUUGGACAAUGGGGGCAACCCUGAUCCAGCCAUGCCGCGUGAGUGAUGAAGGCCCUAGGGUUGUAAAGCUCUUUUGUGCGGGAAGAUAAUGACGGUACCGCAAGAAUAAGCCCCGGCUAACUUCGUGCCAGCAGCCGCGGUAAUACGAAGGGGGCUAGCGU